AGGUAGGCAGCCAGCGCAGGCCCAGCAGCAAGAGAAGGAGCAGGAGAGGCUGGAAUAUUCUGGCUUGAAAACAGCAGCUGUGUAAUAAAGCCGGGCUGGUUUGUCUCAGGGCCCCGCUGUCCCUUCUCCCCGCCUCAAAGUAGCAGCAUGAAUCAGUUCACUGCGGCAAUGGUCCAGGCGAUGUGACUUGCAUCCCCAUCAGCUACCUGAUUGCGGUCCCUGGAUGCACGAGGCGCUGGAUGUGCCUGGCAUACCAAACUGCCCGCCUCUGUGCCGCAGCUACUGGUAAUGAAGAUCACCGGCCCCGCCCAGCACUGCGGACAGAGCCGGGCAUUCUUCAAGGCCACCACUGGCCUUUUAUCUUGUCCAAGGCUCUGGGAUAGUCACCAAAAUCCUUGGGCUGCUUUUGACGGGGGCCACCAGCCUGUCUCAAGAUGCCCUGACAAGCCCCUCCAGCCCUGGGCAGACAAAGGCUUGAAAGGAGAGGAAUUGCACACGGUCCAGACGCUGCUGUUUCUAAUACGUUAUUUUGACACACAAUUAACUGCAAAAUUUGCUCUAAGCUAAGAGCUCGGGCCCUCACAGGAUUCGUACAGCACAAUUCAAGCAGAAUUUGGUUCUGUGAAACCUCAUUUUUCCUGAAGGGCUAGGGAUUGCCGGCUCCCCACGGUGAUGCCACCCCUCUCAGGGCCGGCUGUGGGCACCGAUCAGAGAGGAUGCAUCAGCCCGCCCACAGCCCAGCAUGGGGCCAGGGGAACCAUGGCACGAGUCAUGGGAGGGGGUGGAUAAAGCUUGCACAAAACCUUCCAACAGAGCUCCCUGAACAACAACCCUUCCUAAAAUGGUGUCGCUUAUCCUCCGCUGACAAAAGCCUGAUUUGAGCUCUCCCCGGAGGUGGGAUGAAGCGAACACAUUGCCUUUUAUCUCCCCGUCGCUUUGAGAGGGGAAGACAACUGGUACAGAGCAUGGUGGGGAGCCCUGGAGAAGGCACUCUUGAAUGAAAGGCAUAAUCUCCGGCUCCCCCAAACCAGGAGGGGAGGCAGCUUUCAUCCCCCACCGCGGCCCGCUCCCCCCGUCCUGGAGGCAUCUGAAUGGGAGUGGGGAGCUUGGAAGGAGAGGCUCCUGCCGCUGCACAAUGCCACACAAUAUUGCUUCUCUCCAGGAGCCCAGAGGAGGCCAUGGGCGUACAGCAUCUUACUUUGAAACCAAUUCUCCAAUCAGCUAUUUAAUAAGAAAUAUAAUCUCAUUGAACACCCA
rnacentral:lncRNA from 1 species